UGGGGAAUAUUGCACAAUGGGCGAAAGCCUGAUGCAGCGACGCCGCGUGAGGGAUGACGGCCUUCUGGUUGUAAACCUCUUUCAGCAGGGACGAAGCGCAAGUGACGGUACCUGCAGAAGAAGCACCGGCUAACUACGUGCCAGCAGCCGCGGUAAUACGUAGGGUGCAAGCGUUGUCCGGAAUUACUGGGCGUAAAGAGUUCGUAGGCGGUUUGUCGCGUCGUUUGUGAAAACCAGCAACUCAACUGCUGGCUUGCAGGCGAUACGGGCAGACUUGAGUACUGCAGGGGAGACUGGAAUUCCUGGUGUAGCGGUGAAAUGCGCAGAUAUCAGGAGGAACACCGGUGGCGAAGGCGGGUCUCUGGGCAGUAACUGACGCUGAGGAACGAAAGCGUGGGUAGCGAACAGG
rnacentral:rRNA from 1 species